rnacentral:rRNA from 1 species
UAAGACAGAGGGGGCAAGCGUUGCUCGGAAUUACUGGGCGUAAAGGGCGCGUAGGCGGGAUGGCAAGUCGGUCGUGAAAGCCUUCGGCUCAACCGAAGAACGUCGGCCGAUACUGCCGUUCUUGAGGGAUGCAGAGGAGACUGGAAUUCCCGGUGUAGCGGUGAAAUGUGUAGAGAUCGGGAGGAACACCGGUGGCGAAGGCGGGUCUCUGGGCAUCUCCUGACGCUGAGGCGCGAAAGCGUGGGGAGCAAACGGGAUUAGAUACCCCGGUAGUCCACGCCGUAAACGAUGACGACUAGGUGUGGGGUGGUUCAGUCCACUCCGUGCCGCAGCUAACGCAUUAAGUCGUCCGCCUGGGGAGUACGGCCGCAAGGUUG